GGCUCUGCUGUCACACAGCCUGUGCCAGAGACCUAACCACACCCUGGCAGGGUGAGAUACCAGCUUGGAAGAGCUCCUCCUAAAAGUGCUGGGUUGGAUAUCCACCCACUGCAGGCAGUAGAUGCCAUGAGCAUUCCCUGUCAGCACCACUCAUGUGGACAAAUAAAUGCAUUUACCCCUUG